AUUGAACGCUGGCGGCAGGCUUAACACAUGCAAGUCGAGCGGGGUGAUGGUGCUUGCACUAUCACUUAGCGGCGGACGGGUGAGUAAUGCUUAGGAAUCUGCCUAUUAGUGGGGGACAACAUCUCGAAAGGGAUGCUAAUACCGCAUACGUCCUACGGGAGAAAGCAGGGGAUCACUUGCGACCUUGCGCUAAUAGAUGAGCCUAAGUCGGAUUAGCUCGUUGGUGGGGUAAAGGCCUACCAAGGCGACGAGCUGUAGCGGGUCUGAGAGGAUGAUCCGCCACACUGGGACUGAGACACGGCCCAGACUCCUACGGGAGGCAGCAGUGGGGAAUAUUGGACAAUGGGGGGAACCCUGAUCCAGCCAUGCCGCGUGUGUGAAGAAGGCCUUAUGGUUGUAAAGCACUUUAAGCGAGGAGGAGGCUCUUUUGGUUAAUACCCAAGAUGAGAGGACGUUACUCGCAGAAUAAGCACCGGCUAACUCUGUGCCAGCCGCCGCCGUAA
rnacentral:rRNA from 1 species